AAGUGUCUUCAUCUUCCUUCUUCACAACUCCAUCUUCAGAAUGCUUUUGCAUUCUCAACUCUUUUUGUUUCUCUGUUGGACCUUUAUAUUCUUACUAUCCCUCCAUUAGUUCUUUCCUACCUAUAUAUGAAGGUUAGUCAUCAGCAUAGUUCUCUGCAUCCUAUGUAGAAAAGGAGAAAAGCUUAAGUUGGUGAGGCUGAUUUGGGAUGAAAGAGAUUCAUUAUGCAGGUGAUGAUAUUGAAUGGAAGUGCAUGUGUUGAAGGGUUCAUUGGUGGUUGGAGGGAUUGUGAUGAGAUAUAUCAUCUCAUGUUGACAGAAGAGAGAGAGCACAACCCGAGAAUGGUUAAAGGAGUGUUUGCCUUUGUUGGGAGUGUGCUCUCUCUUCCUCUGUCAUCAUCACAUUCACAUGCCUUUGCUUUCUAGCUAGCUAAACUGCAACAGUACAUGCACCACUCUCUGUUAUACCUUUCAAGAGCCCAGUUUGGACAAAUCUGAAGCAUAAACAUCGGUGUGCUCUGAAACCCCGGUGUGCCAAUUUUGGUGGGACGUGUACGAGUGGAAAGGGAGAACAAUGGAUACCCUUUUCGUCUUCCUUCUUCCAUGAAGAACACACUUUGUUGCUAUUAAUGGUAUGAGAAACUAAAUUUAAUAACUCCCUUUUUACUCCCUGUCUUAUGUACAAGUGUUUAAUAAUUUACUGUAAGUAAUCUGAAUGCUGUUUUAAUUUUUUAAGAGUAGAUAAUCCUGAUAAUGGUGGGUUAAUACUAAAGGGAAUUUCUCUGAAAUAGAGUCUGAUACCAUCUUAUUAACUUGUUUAAAUUUUACUCAAUCUUAUCUUGUAAGAUAGAUUUACACUCACUUCUAUAUUAUUAUAAUUUGACUAGGAUAACUUUGUUUAAGCAGCAUGAUUUUAGUGUUCAUCAAACCAUUCCAUUGUUGAUAAGAAUGCAAAUAUUUGUUACAGUGAUAACACUCCACUGAUGGCUGCACUGGGAUUAGGUAGAAAAGGGAUAGAUCAGAAAAUGACCUCUUUUCUUUGUUUUGGUUGUGUUUUUUUGACAUUUCUAGUUCUGUAUAUAGCACCCUUUUGAUGAGCACGCUUAUCCACCACCAUAAUUGGAAGGGCAACCAGUUACAUACUCUGCAUCCACCCUAAAACCAGUGUAAACUGAUAUACAUAGGAAAGGUUGUUGCUUACGUGAUAUUAAAGAUUUUACCAUUAUCACUCUAUAAAGGUGAGUUUUGGUCCAUUUGGGAUGGAUUUCAUCCUCAAACGGAUCUACUCAUAAAGGUAACAAUAAAAUUCAGUAAUGGAAUCAAUUAACAUCAUUUUGUGCAAGUCAUCCAACAAGGAAAUCCAUUUCACUACACACCAUAUUUGUUGAUCUUUCUUGAAAAACUUGAGAUAAGUAGCCUCGCUUUAAUUUACAUUUUGGAAAUUGAUUUUAGAAGAUUUUAAUUCUCAAGUAUCUUUGAAAAAAAAUAUUAUUACUCAGAUAUAAUUAUUAAAUAUGACUUUUAAAGUAAUUAUCAGGAAUCUAAAUAAUAAUUUUAAAAAAUAUUUUUAUUUUUUAAAAACUAAAUCAAUAAAAAAAAAGUGUGAAAUAUGUCGCAUAGUACUAGUGGAACAUGACAGCUUUUACAUUUGGCUAUUCCAAGGCAUUGGCAUGCAAGGACUAUAAAUGAAUAAGAUAGAGAGAUCAACAUGUCAACCAAAAUGUUCCUCUCUUAGUAUAGUUGAUACAAUGAAACUUGUAAUUGAGAAUAACCAUUCAAAU